rnacentral:lncRNA from 1 species
UACCUCCUCCCCCACUCCAAAAUCCAUAGCGCACAUGCAUCCGUACCACUACAACAAAAACGGUCUAUAGCGACACUUUUAAAUAUAGGUACAUGUCAAAAAAGUGCUGCUAGCUAAAAUUACCGACACUUUUAAAAAGUGUUGCUAUAUGUGGGGUCGCUAGGUAUAUAGUGACAGUUAAAGAGUGUCGCUAUAACCUAAAAGAGUGCUGUUAAUUUACCAACACUUAUUUAAGCAUUUAGCAACCGCCGAAACUCUAUCUCGUUGGCUGCGGUAGCGGAGGAGGACGACAGUAAAGGCUCUUCGUUUAGAAUUUCAGUGGAUUGAGUGAAGAGAGAAUAAAAGAUGGUAAUUGAUUUUUCUUUUUUUUUUUCUUUUAUGUUUGUAAUCGGGCCAAAUGGACUGGGUGUGGUAGGUUGAGUAGAGUAAUCUUUUAUUUUUGGUUGGAUUGGGCUUUAUAUUUAGGCAUUAGUAGAUGUGUUUUUAAGUUUUAGCAUAAAUGGGACACUUACUCAAAAGUGUCCUAAACAUGUGUCCCUAUAACCUAAUUCUGUUGUAGUGUACUAAGAAUGUCUAACCACAAGUCCGCUUCUUAGAGAGGGCCUUGAAAUAAAAAUAAAAA